UUUGAUGGCGACCGGCGCACGGGUGAGUAACACGUAUCCAACCUGCCGAUGACUCGGGGAUAGCCUUUCGAAAGAAAGAUUAAUACCCGAUGGCAUAGUUCUUCCGCAUGGUAGAACUAUUAAAGAAUUUCGGUCAUCGAUGGGGAUGCGUUCCAUUAGGUUGUUGGCGGGGUAACGGCCCACCAAGCCUUCGAUGGAUAGGGGUUCUGAGAGGAAGGUCCCCCACACUGGAACUGAGACACGGUCCAAACUCCUACGGGAGGCAGCAUG
rnacentral:rRNA from 1 species